UGCAUAUCAAUAAGCGGAGGAAAAGAAACUAACAAGGAUUCCCCUAGUAGCGGCGAGCGAAGCGGGAAGAGCUCAAAUUUAUAAUCUGGCACCUUCGGUGUCCGAGUUGUAAUCUCUAGAAAUGUUUUCCGCGUUGGACCGCACACAAGUCUGUUGGAAUACAGCGGCAUAGUGGUGAGACCCCCGUAUAUGGUGCGGACGCCCAGCGCUUUGUGAUACAUUUUCGAAGAGUCGAGUUGUUUGGGAAUGCAGCUCAAAUUGGGUGGUAAAUUCCAUCUAAAGCUAAAUAUUGGCGAGAGACCGAUAGCGAACAAGUACCGUGAGGGAAAGAUGAAAAGCACUUUGGAAAGAGAGUUAACAGUACGUGAAAUUGUUGGAAGGGAAACGCUUGAAGUCAGACUUGCUUGCUGAGCAAUCGGUUUGCAGGCCAGCAUCAGUUUUCCGGGAUGGAUAAUGGUAGAGAGAAGGUAGCAGUUUCGGCUGUGUUAUAGCUCUCUGCUGGAUACAUCUUGGGGGACUGAGGAACGCAGUGUGCCUUUGGCGGGGGUUUCGACCUCUUCACACUUAGGAUGCUGGUGGAAUGGCUUUAAACGACCCGUCUUGAAACACGGACCA
rnacentral:rRNA from 1 species